GAAAAACUAUUGAAGUAUCCAUGCCAAUUAUGUCACUGCAAAGCAGAGCUAUUGAGUCCCUCGUAUACCAUUUUUUAACAUUUUAAAGAGAAGUGAAUAAACUCUAAAAAGAGCAAACAAGCUCAACAUGGAAAUGGAUACGAAUGAUGUCAAUGCAAGCUUAAGCACAAUCUUGAUGGAUUGAAUAAACUGCACACAUAGUAUAAGUGAUACAAACCAAACCAAUUGAUUCAAUUUCGAAGUACUAGAAGAAAUUAGUUUAUUUUAACCACAGGGUAAAUCUGUGAAAUUAUCCCAAAAAAGGAAAUAAUUUCAUAAGAUUACUAUGUGGUUUAGCACUUUAUCACUUAAGCGACAAAAAUUUUACCUGAACUUUUGCAAUUGACAUUGUUUUCCUAUACUCAUUAACAGAGUACUAACGUGGCAAUUUCCCUUCCCGUGCUCCUGCUUCUGACCUAUUGCUAGGUCAACACGUAACAAAUUCAAAGAAAAUGCGAGUAUGUAACAGGACAAAAGCUCAAGGCACCAUUUUGAUGAGAAUCAAACUUUUGUUCCUUAAAGUGAUAAAGUGAUAUAACGUGUGAAAUUCGCACUUCAUAUUUUUUUUCUAAAUUCAUUAACAGAGUACUGCCAUGGCAAUUCCCCUUCCCCUGCUUCUGCCUCAGAGCUAUUUCUAGGUCAGCACUCCAUUAACAGAUUCAGGGACAAUGUAACAACACUAAAGAACAGGGUAACAUUUUGAUGAAAAUCAAACCUCUGUUCCUUAAGUAAUAAAAGCGACGUAAAAUUAAUCAUAGCAACCUAAAUUUACCAUUUGUUUUCAAUUAACCACACA
rnacentral:misc_RNA from 1 species